rnacentral:antisense_RNA from 1 species
CACCGACAUCAGGGACUCGUUUUGCGACCCCUGGCCGACGGCGAGAUAGGCAUUCAUACCCAGCUCUUUCAUCUGCUGUUCGCCGAUGACGCGCGUAGUGAUAUUUUUACUGUAGGCGUCCGCCAGCUGGCGCGCCUGCGAGGCAAGGUAGGCGGCGUUACAGAUAUUAGGCGGCAUAUUGCCGAGAUCUUUCGC